GCUUGUCUCAAAGAUUAAGCCAUGCAUGUCUAAGUAUAAACGAUUUUAUACGUGAAACUGCGAAUGGCUCAUUAUAUCAGUUAUAGUUUAUUUGAUGGUCCUUACUACUUGGAUAACCGUAGUAAUUCUAGAGCUAAUACAUGCAUCAAGCCCUGACUUCGGAAGGGGUGUAUUUAUUAGAUGGAAACCAAUGCGGGGCAACCCGGUAUAUGGUGAUUCAUAAUAACUUUCGGAUCGAUCUUCGGAUCGAUGCAUCAUUCAAGUUUCUGCCCUAUCAGCUUUGGAUGGUAGGGUAUUGGCCUACCAUGGCUUUAACGGGUA
rnacentral:rRNA from 1 species